rnacentral:tRNA from 2 species
GGGCUGGUAGCUCAGUUGGUUAGAGCACCACCAAGGAGGUCCUGGGUUCAAUCCCCGGCUGGUCCA